GUGCCUUGCGUCGCCUUGCAAUUGUCGCCUUGCUCAAGGAUGUGUAACAACCAGCCCCAUACACUCUGUGUCAGCCAUUAUAGUAUUGGCGGUCGUUAUACGAAUAUUACUACCGAUCACGCAAGCGUUCCAUAGCAUUUGAAUUGAGAACAACCGUAGGAUGCGAACGCCCCAAGCUUCGCGGUGCACAGGAGGAUAGGGGAAGAGGUUGAGCUGACGCUUCGAUGCGAGCAUGCAAGACGUCAUUUGCGCUGAGAUGAACAUAUUGCUCAUGACGGGAGAAAUUUUCUCUGAUCAAAAGGAGGUCACGUGGGAUUGCAUCACGCUUGCGAAAUGGGCAGCAAUGGGAAUGGCGAAACGAAACUUGAGGAUGGUGCAUUGUACUCCAUUGUAGCUACCAGGAAAUCGAAGCAAACUAUGAGACACUGGAUUACAGGUUGCUGCCACUGAUCCAUGUUCCAUGUGCCAGCAACUGUCCUGCGUGCACGACAGGAUUACACCAACGACGUCGCCCACCACAGCAGAAGUGUUUUGCGCACACACGUUUGAAGCCUGCAGGUAGCUUCUGCUGGUUACUCUUCUGAUAUACUGUUUGUGAAUGUUGCAGCUGUUACGACCUGGCUGCCACGCCAUGUUUGUCUCCCACCCUCGUCGUUGGUCAGCCAUGUUCCUGUCAGCGAGCUUCCCCAUUCACCCAAAAAGGGGAAGGAGAUCAAGGUCGUCUUCCUGGAACUCGCCGCGGCUGGUGACCUCCUUCUCACGGACGGA